rnacentral:rRNA from 1 species
AACAAAAAUAUCACACAUACAAACAACCUCUUACAACAAUCUCAGUGCCAAUCUAUAAUACUAUAGAAGAACUAAUGCUAGAACUAGUAACAAGAACCAAUCUCUUACGCACAACUGUAAAUCAGUCACAGAAAGCCUACUGAAAAUUAACAGCUCAAUGCAUACCU